ensembl:snRNA U6 U6 spliceosomal RNA
GUGCUCCCUUUGGCUGUACAUAUACUAAAAUUGGAAUGAUACAGAGAAGAUUAGCAUGGUCCCUGUGCAAGUAUAAUGCAAAUUUGUGAAGCCUCCAUUAAAAAAAAUUU